rnacentral:rRNA from 1 species
UACAGAGGUCUCAAGCGUUGUUCGGAUUCAUUGGGCGUAAAGGGCGCGUAGGCGGCGGGGUAAGUCGGGUGUGAAAUCUCAGGGCUCAACCCUGAAACUGCACUCGAUACUGCCCUGCUUGAGGACUGGAGAGGAGACUGGAAUUCACGGUGUAGCAGUGAAAUGCGUAGAUAUCGUGAGGAAGACCAGUGGCGAAGGCGGGUCUCUGGACAGUUCCUGACGCUGAGGCGCGAAGGCCAGGGGAGCAAACGGG